UACGUAGGGUGCAAGCGUUGUCCGGAAUUAUUGGGCGUAAAGAGCUCGUAGGCGGUUUGUCGCGUCUGCUGUGAAAACCCGAGGCUCAACCCCGGACUUGCAGUGGGUACGGGCAGACUAGAGUGUGGUAGGGGAGACUGGAAUUCCUGGUGUAGCGGUGAAAUGCGCAGAUAUCAGGAGGAACACCGAUGGCGAAGGCAGGUCUCUGGGCCACUACUGACGCUGAGACGCGAAAGCGUGGGGAGCGAACAGG
rnacentral:rRNA from 1 species